rnacentral:rRNA from 1 species
UUUGGUGCCUUCGGGAACUGUGAGACAGGUGCUGCAUGGCUGUCGUCAGCUCGUGUUGUGAAAUGUUGGGUUAAGUCCCGCAACGAGCGCAACCCUUAUCCUUUGUUGCCAGCGGUUAGGCCGGGAACUCAAAGGAGACUGCCAGUGAUAAACUGGAGGAAGGUGGGGAUGACGUCAAGUCAUCAUGGCCCUUACGACCAGGGCUACACACGUGCUACAAUGGCGCAUACAAAGAGAAGCGACCUCGCGAGAGCAAGCGGACCUCAUAAAGUGCGUCGUAGUCCGGAUUGGAGUCUGCAACUCGACUCCAUGAAGUCGGAAUCGCUAGUAAUCGUAGAUCAGAAUGCUACGGUGAAUACGUUCCCGGGCCUUGUACACACCGCC